CGGUUAUUGGCCAGCAGUAUAAAAUCAGACGAAAAGAGGCGGCAAGUGAGUGAGCGUUUGUGAUCAUUCAUUUCAACCACGGAGAGUGUGCGACGGCACUUGUUUGUUUGGCUAAAAUUGUGCAAGAAAUUGCGCAAAGAAGGAUGCACUACUCACAUGAUUAAACAGCCCAGGAUUCACGGUUUACGUUUUUUGCUACACCGGACUUCUUUCAACCAAUCAGAGAAAAACUGUUCAGCAAGCCAAGUUACACCUGCAAUGGCUGACUAGGAGGAGGAAUUGACAUGUCUGGAGGAUGAGGAGGAGAUACCACAAAUAUACCAUCCUAUUUGACCUGGCGGAAAACAAGAUCCCUGGAUUAGCCUGCUGCUGUGUUUAAUGUAACUGUCAGGAACAGAUGACGUGUCCCACGAGGUGGCGUAUGUGGUGAAUGAUGUCCAAAAGGAGUAGGAAGAAGCAAAGCUUAUUAAAUCCUACCCCGCAAUCUGGUACUUUUACAAUCAGUAACUGUUAUAAUUGUUCACUUCCUGCUUUCCUAAUAUAGUUCACGUUAUUUAUUUAUUGUUUUAUUAUUGGAGUGAUUUCUGAUUGAGAACAAAUUUUGCUUUGAUCAAUAUUGAAAUAUUUCUGGCCACCUUAUGUUGUAUAUUUUUGUAAUAUGAGGUUUCCAGCUCAUAUUUUCAUCUAUUGUGAUCCCCAGAAAUGUAUUUUCCUUCACUCUU